AAAAGUUAUUUGUUUAAUUUUACGACGAUUAGAGUUCGUUGGCAAAAUACGCGAGGCCGCGAUACAUGCUGAUAUAUACGUCGUGCGUGCGGCUUGAUAGCUCGUACGUACACGGAGCAACUACCCAACUACGCGACUUGUUCGUUAUCUCCAUAAUUCCAUAAAGCUUUUCCGGAAAUUGAUCCUAUAGAGAUUAGAAAACUUUUUCCGAGACUCCACCCCUUCAUCUCUCUGAAGCUAUUCAUAAGCUGUUUCACUUACAAAUGUUAGAGUUUUGUCUGAGAACUACCGAUGAACUAUAUUAUUAAUUAGUACGGUUUCAAUGGUUCUAAUGAAAACGUCAUUUUCGUACUUGAAACCACUAAGCCUAUUAGCGCUUGGUAUAUUUAAUGCUAAUUAGAAACAUAACUGUGAAUCUGGAAAAGCAAAUUAGUUUUUUCGACUGAACAGUGAAUUUCGGAAGGUUCAACAGUUUCUGACUGACGUCAAAUUAUUCAAAUUCAUUGAUGAAGAAAAAAAUUUUAUUCAUCGACUCACUCAGCGUUGAUUAUGUCCUCGCUGAAUAAUUGGAAUUGUGCCAAGUCACUCAGCGCGACGGAGCUAAACGAACGAAUGAUUAAUCGCGACAUUUUAUCCAUAUUCCUGCAUUAUCGACGUCACGGGAAAAGUUUCACAAACGCCAGAUUGAAACGGAGUCGAAUGGCUGAUAUAAACUUACCAAAAUAACGAGUAUAACGGGUCCCACGAAACUGAAGAUAAAGUAGUUGUCAGCUCGUAGCCAACAGUAUUGAUCGGUGCCGUAGCUCAGUGGAUCGAUUAUACAUGAAAUAGCAACCACGAGUAACGGACCACCAUAAGCAACCAGAUAAUACCAUCGCAGACGGGACUUUUCAGCUUCGAAAACUUCAAUCAGCAUGACGUACAGUUGAAAACCUGGGAAGAGAAAAAUUGGAAUUGAGAGUCGAUUCACAUUCGACUCACCUUAAGACCUCGGAAGAGUUGGAACGUCAGGAUCGCGAGAACCAGACAGACAACGGAGAUGAUGCAGCCGAUAUACGUGAUGAUUUGUAG